GUAGUUGCCAUCAUUCAGUUGGGCACUCUAGCGAGACUGCCGGUAAUAAACCGGAGGAAGGUGGGGAUGACGUCAAAUCAUCAUGCCCCUUAUGACCUGGGCUACACACGUGCUACAAUGGUUGGUACAACGAGUUGCGAGUCGGUGACGGCGAGCUAAUCUCUUAAAGCCAAUCUCAGUUCGGAUUGUAGGCUGCAACUCGCCUACAUGAAGCCGGAAUCGCUAGUAAUCGCGGAUCAGCAUGCCGCGGUGAAUACGUUCCCGGGCCUU
rnacentral:rRNA from 1 species